UUGUUUGACAUAAUUAUUGAAAGUCAUAAUGUAAUGAUUAUCAGAUUAUCGUUAGUCAUAAUUCUGAAACCGAACCGUUAACUUUUCAGGAUUUUCGUAAGGUUCCUAUAGAUAGGGUGAUUCAUGAGACGUGAGCAGGACUAGGCCUACACAAUCAGUAAAUGUUAAUGGAUCGUUCACCGCAAUAUUUAAGUAAAACCAUCACGUUAAUUUUCUGUUGUUAAACUUUUUGGUAAGGACAAAU